rnacentral:lncRNA from 1 species
AUGGAGUCACCAGAUGGCAGCACUCAAAGCUGCCAUAUUCUUUCCAUGUUCAGCAGCUCCAUGGAAAAGCUGCAGCAGCUUCUGGGCAAGGGAGAGUACCUGCUACUGAAGAAUAUACCCAUAUUUGAGAGUGACUUUAUCCAGCACUCUAGCAUUCCUGGUUCAACUCCCAGGCCAUUUCUGGAAUCAUCCAUUUUGUUUGAGGCACUGCUGUCUAGUGGAAGAAGAGAGAGGUUGGCUCUUUCAAACAUAACCAUUGAUAUUAUUAUUAUUUUAUUACCAUGAAUAUAACCUGGAAAUAUAAUUCAGAUUUGAAUGUGUUUGAGCAUGAACUCUGAAG